GGUCUGUAGCUCAGUUGGUUAGAGCGCACCCCUGAUAAGGGUGAGGUCGGAAGUUCAACUCUUCCCAGACCCACCAGCUUUAUGCCUAAUUUGCUGGGCGACUGAGAGUUUAUUUUUAACAAUUUUUUGGCCGCCUCUGUAUCCGGCAUAA
rnacentral:tRNA from 1 species